rnacentral:lncRNA from 1 species
AGUUGUGAUCAUACCAGCACUAAUGCACCGGAUCCCAUCAGAACUCCGUAGUUAAUCGUGCUUGGGCGAGAGUGGUACUAGGAUUAGUGACCCCUUGGGAAGUCCUCGUGUUGCGACCCUUUUUUUAUCUGUUUUUGUUUUUUUGGUUAUAUAUAUUUUUCUAAUCAUUGAUUCACCGGGCCCAAGUGGCCGUGUUCGUUGGAACGGGACGACGUGGGGGCCGGAGGCAUGAUAGCUUAAGGAUGACAGGAGUGACCGACUUUGUCAAAGGAAUGGACUUGACGAAGGCGCGCGGUGAACGGCGCGCACGAGACGCGUAACAGAGGCCAUACAUGGGAGCUCAGGUGUGCAUGAGAUUAAGGCGUGGAAAAGUAUAAAGAAAUAAGGAGAUUGUAGUCUUUCAGUUGCGAUCAUACCAGCACUAAUGCACCGGAUACUAUCAGAACUCUGCAGUUAAGCGUGCUUGGCAUGCACGAGACUCGUAACGG